UACGUAGGAGACAAGCGUUGUCCGGAUUUACUGGGCGUAAAGAGCGCGCAGGCGGUCGUUCAAGUCGAGUGUGAAAGACCCCGGCUCAACUGGGGAGGGUCAUUCGAUACUGAUCGACUCGAAGGCAGGAGAGGGAAGUGGAAUUCCCGGUGUAGUGGUGAAAUGCGUAGAUAUCGGGAGGAACACCAGUGGCGAAGGCGACUUCCUGGCCUGUUCUUGACGCUGAGGCGCGAAAGCUAGGGGAGCAAACGGG
rnacentral:rRNA from 1 species